rnacentral:lncRNA from 1 species
UUUAUUAUUAUGAAUUUGAGAUGUCAUUCUAAUAACUGAAUGGAUAAGAAAUGAUUUUCAAGAGAAUAUUUCCUUUAAUAAUUUUUAUGAAACAAUAUUUGGAUUAUAGUUAUGUUUUCGAUAAUGAUUAUUUAGUUUAAAGUAUUGAACUUUAUGAUAAACAGUCAGAUGACAGCGUGGAACUAUGUUAGACUGUAUUCAAUUCCGGAUUCCACAUUUCCAGAUUUUUCGGAAGUGAACCUAACCUUUCCUAUUGAGUUCUAUCCUUCAGUCUUUUGGCUAACACCAUCAUAAUUGUUGGUCAGUUCAUGCUGGCUCUAGAAUAAACACCAAUAUAUAUCUUAUAUUCUUUGUGAAUUCGAUGGCAUUAUUAAAAUUAAAUCUAAAUGUAUAAUCGGUAUUAUAUUAGAUAGAUAAUUUUCAGUUUUAUUUACUACUUAAGAAAACAUUGCAAAUAACUGAUCUUGGGCAAUAUAAUUCUAAUUAAAUUAAUUUUUCUCAUUUACUUUUGCUUUUUUUGUUUUACUGUUUUACUCCCUUUUCCAAUCAAUGAAAUUACUAAAGGACGGGGCCAGUUCUAACCACGGCUGCACCACACUCGUGGAGGGAAACCGGAUAGUGAAGGACGGGGAUCGCUGGCCGGGCCCAAAACCCCGAAAAACUUUUCAGUAUAAGGCUUGGUUCCCACUAGAGCUACGUUCCGUCUCCGUCCGUCCCCGUCUCUCCGUCAUUUGUAAUCGACUCCGUCAAAAGUGUUCACACUACUAUCCGUACAUCGAUCCGUCUAGCCAAUGAACUAAACCGAUAAAAAUUCGAGAG